rnacentral:antisense_RNA from 1 species
GACACAAAACCCGGAAGGACCCAGCCGAAGGUUUUCUCCGGUUCGGGCAAGAGACGGGGUCCCGCUCUGUCACCCAGGCUGCCAGACUGGCGUACAGUGGUGCAAUCUCAGCUCACUGCAACCUGCACCUCCUGGGUUCAAGUGAUUUUCUUGUCUCUGCCUCCUGAGUAGCUGGGAUUACUGGCACACACCACCAUGCACUGGGAAUUUUCUGGUGGGCAAAUUGUGAGGGAGUUGCGGGAAUUUAGCCAAUUCAGAGGUCUUGUUCUCCAUAAUCUGGAACUUUCCUUCAGAUUUGAUCAAGUUGGAUAAAGUUGGUCAAACCCAAUGGGAAAAAGAUGAAAACAACAAGAAACAGAAACAAACAACAACAACAACAACAAAACAGUUAAGUGAAACAAACAAACAAUCACACAAUUUAUGUGGUCACUGAGUGCUCUAAUAGUAAGGAGAAAUUAAGACCAGCUGGCUGUUAAUCUUAACUCUAGCCAAGACAAAACUCCAAUUCAGCUACUUACCUAGUAAUGAGUCUCAGGCUGAAGU